rnacentral:rRNA from 1 species
UACGAAGGGGGCUAGCGUUGCUCGGAAUCACUGGGCGUAAAGGGUGCGUAGGCGGGUCUUUAAGUCAGGGGUGAAAUCCUGGAGCUCAACUCCAGAACUGCCUUUGAUACUGAGGAUCUUGAGUUCGGGAGAGGUGAGUGGAACUGCGAGUGUAGAGGUGAAAUUCGUAGAUAUUCGCAAGAACACCAGUGGCGAAGGCGGCUCACUGGCCCGAUACCGACGCUGAGGCACGAAAGCGUGGGGAGCAGACAGG